rnacentral:lncRNA from 1 species
GCCUUACCCUCUCAAAGUGCUGGGAUUAUAGGUGUGAGCGACCGUGCCCAGCCUCAUUUUUUCUUUCAAUAUGGAAAAUUGGCUAAUCCACCUAAUACCUGCUCAUCUUCUAGUAUUCUAUCCUACCAUCUACCCUCAGAGUUAUUGAUGUACUCUUUCAUCAUGUGCUAUCAUGAUUUCUCCUUAGAUUAGAAAGUAAGCUUCAAAUGGGAGUGUGUCUUCAUAUUGUUCUGAAUUAACAGAUUUUGAUGCCCGCUGAUCAUGUGCAGAUGAUGGAAGCUCAUUUCCUUCCAUGAACCAGGAGCAUGCUCGCCUCUUCUUUUAAGUUGACCCACACAAUCUCUGAUGUCUUCUUUUUGGGAAAGGGUAAUGAGAUAAGGAUUAAGGACAUUUUCUUCUGGUCCAGUGUUAGAUACAGUUACCUUGAUAAUAAUGAAAAAAAAAUGAAUACCACCAAAACCUAACUAUGAUGUAAGGAUUCUGCUUCUGCCCCACAGGGGCUCUGAAAGAGUCUAGCCUGGAUCUUCUUUCCCAGAGGAAGUUUGACUUAUGACCAUAUUAGUAUGCUUUAUUCCUUGGUGUUUAAGGGAGUUGGGGCAGACAGGUUAGCUGGCUAAUGUCAUUACAAUUUAGUUUUUGUGACAAUCUGUUAAGAAGGGGGCUUAUUGCAUAAUCAAAAAAGAACAAUAAAAAAAUAAAAAUUUC